GAGGCCAUUGAAGGUGUCAAUCUCCAAAGGAUCAAAAGAUUCAUGGGUUUCUCUAUCUUAUUUCGCCCUCUCAUUCUGAUCAUAUUCAUUGCCUCCAUCUUUACCAUGCAGCUAUCUCAGGUUAACGCAGGUAUGGAGGUGAGAAAAUUACUUGAUGGCAGACCCUUGCCAAAUCCACCGCCUGCUCCCUCUUCAAACGUGCCGUAGCAUCAAAUCCCACCGGAGGCACCACCUCUCGCAAAAAAUAAGAGUCUGAGCUUUCCUCCACGAAUGAGAUUCAUGCAACAGUGUCGGGCCUCUAAUGUGCUAGCCUUUACAAUCAAGAGGCAGCGAGGAUGUCUGCUGAGGGAGCCUGGAUGCCGGCUGUUCGUUGUAGCUACUGUGAUAGUGUGAUGUGCUUUGCUGUUUGCCUUAUCUUGAAUAUCAACCACAUAAGUGGAUCAAAUCGAUUAAUAUUCUU